rnacentral:rRNA from 1 species
AUACGGAGGGUGCAAGCGUUAAUCGGAAUUACUGGGCGUAAAGCGUACGUAGGCGGUUUGUUAAGUUAGAUGUGAAAGCCCCGGGCUUAACCUGGGAACUGCAUUUAAAACUGGCAAACUAGAGUUGGAUAGAGGGAAGUGGAAUUUCAGGUGUAGCGGUGAAAUGCGUAGAGAUCUGAAGGAACACCAGUGGCGAAGGCGACUUCCUGGACUCAAACUGACGCUGAGGUACGAAAGCGUGGGUAGCAAACGGGAUUAGAAACCCUAGUAGUCC